rnacentral:rRNA from 1 species
GACGAGUCUCACAAACGUUUAUUCGGAAUUACUGGGCUUAAAGGGUGCGUAGGCGGUGAAGUAAGUCGGGUGUGAAAUACCAUAGCUUAACUAUGGAACUGCACUCGAUACUACUUGCUAGAGUAAGACAGAGGUGAGUGGAACUGAGGGUGGAGCGGUGAAAUGCGUUGAUAUCCUCAGGAACACCGGUGGCGAAGGCGGGUCUCUGGGCAGUAACUGACGCUGAGGAGCGAAAGCGUGGGGAGCGAACAGG